rnacentral:lncRNA from 12 species
UGAUGGCCGCCCAAGGCUGGGAUUGCUUCAGAGUUGCUACUCUUGGUGGCCUGGCCACAGGACACCAUGAGCUGGGCAUGCUGAGUUCACUCAGCACCGCUCCUCACCCACUGCACCCACUGUGCCCCCCACACCUCCCCUGGCCCAGCAGGGGACAUCUCCCACACUUCUCACCGUCUUGGAGCUGCCUCCCACCAGCAAGAGCCCAGAGCUUGCCCGCAAACCACGCAAGACUCAUGGCCUGGCCCAGAGCGUCCUUGGUCUCCUUACACUUAGGAGGGGCCAGGACCAGGGGUCCCCAGGAAGGAGGGAAGGGAGGGCCUGAGGCAGGCUGUCGCCGGAAUGAUCCCAAGGGACCCACCCACUUCCUCUUGGGAUUCCAGCCGAGGACAGUGUGGUUUGAAGAACGUUCUAAUCCCAGCCCCAGAGCUCUGAGAGAAAAAAUGACUAAAAGCCCUGGAAUGUGGAGCCUGCUGCUUCCUGCAAAGCAUUUUGAAUGAACCACGUAACCAGCAGCUGCGGCACAGAGAAUGGAAACUGAGAGGGACGUCAUGGCUCCAGGCCCUCAAAUAGCAGGCUUGUGAGCAGAACAAGCUCUCUAUUUCGGCCCAGCUCAGAUGCCCUCGGCACUGACCCCCUCCCCCUCUCCUUCCAGGAACCAGACCCAUCGUGUCAAGGAUGUGCUCCUCUUGCUCACUUUUUCUGAAAACCCAAAGUCCCAGAUUCUUUGCAGAGGAUGGAAGGAACCCCUUCCCACUCAGCAGCCCCCGACGGCACCUAGGACCCCACAGCCCAGCCACUCUGUUCUCUCCAGAGCAGAAGGUUAGCAGUCACCAGCCCAGCCCCAUCCUGGAAUCAGCCCUAGGCCAAGCAUGGCAGUGCUCACCACCUCCUGCGUUAUCCAAGGCUGCUGUCAGGGUGGAAUCGGGGUGAGGAGGGAAGGACAGAUGGUCCCAAGGGGAGUAAAAGUCCUGGGAGUUAGGGAGUUCCUAAAGAUUGCUCCUGCAGGAAGGGAGGUGACACUAACAUUUUUUCAACUUCUUUGUUGAGAUGUAACACAUGUACAGCAAAGCAUGUUAAUCUUAGCGGUGCAGCUCGAUGAAUCCUCUAUGUAUGUAUAUACCGCCUGAAUCAAAACACAGAGCUUUUGGAAUACUCCAGCAGAUUCCCUCAAUAGCCGUCCCCCUCAAAGGUAGUCACUCAGAAAUUUCUCCCACCAGCAAGAUUUGCUCAUAUUUGGAUUUCAUUUAAAUAAAAUCACAAAGAGUAUGUGCCCUUGCCCA